AGACGGUCCAUUUAAUAUAAAGAUAGGUGUUACAAACUGCCGUUUAUAACUGGGAUUUUAUGUGACAAAUUGCCCUGUGUCCUUGGCUUAUGGAGAAGCCUAAUUGCCAGCCUCCUUCCUCAUGAUUAUGGCCCUGCUGGGUAUGGCCCUUUAAGAACAGCAUUGGGGCUUAUGGAUUUUUAUUGGACCAUGCUGGCCCUUUAAGAAC